CGCGUAGGCGGCCUGCUAAGUCGAACGUGAAAUCCCUGGGCUCAACCCAGGAACUGCGUCCGAUACUGGUUGGCUUGAAUCCGGGAGAGGGAUGUGGAAUUCCAGGUGUAGCGGUGAAAUGCGUAGAUAUCUGGAGGAACACCGGUGGCGAAGGCGACAUCCUGGACCGGUAUUGACGCUGAGGCGCGAAAGCCAGGGAGCAAAC
rnacentral:rRNA from 1 species